GGCAGUGUAGCCAAGUGGUUACGGCGUCACGUUUAGGUCAUUGAGACAUCUCCGUGAUGGGUUUCCCGCGCGAGUUCGAAUCUCGUCACUGUCA